rnacentral:rRNA from 1 species
CACGUAGGGAGCAAGCGUUGUCCGGAUUUAUUGGGCGUAAAGAGCUCGUAGGUGGUUCGGUAAGUCGGGUGUGAAAACUCUGGGCUCAACUCAGAGACGCCACCCGAUACUGCUGUGACUCGAGUCUGGUAGGGGAGUGUGGAAUUCCCAGUGUAGCGGUGAAAUGCGCAGAUAUUGGGAGGAACACCAGUGGCGAAGGCGGCACUCUGGGCCAGUACUGACACUGAGGCGCGAAAGCGUGGGGAGCAAACAGG